rnacentral:rRNA from 1 species
UACGUAGGGUCCGAGCGUUGUCCGGAAUUACUGGGCGUAAAGAGCUCGUAGGUGGUUUGUCGCGUUGUUCGUGAAAACUCACAGCUCAACUGUGGGCGUGCGGGCGAUACGGGCAGACUUGAGUACUGCAGGGGAGACUGGAAUUCCUGGUGUAGCGGUGGAAUGCGCAGAUAUCAGGAGGAACACCGGUGGCGAAGGCGGGUCUCGUGGGCAGUAACUGACGCUGAGGAGCGAAAGCGUGGGGAGCGAACAGG